ACUGGGAUCAUAUAGUGGUUCGUACUCUGCAUUGUGACUGCAACAACCUCGGUUCGAAUCCGAGUCAUGGCA
rnacentral:tRNA from 1 species